rnacentral:rRNA from 1 species
AAUGAACGUUAGCGGCGCGCCUAACACAUGCAAGUCGCACGAGAAAGGGCUUCGGCCCCGGUACAGUGGCGCACGGGUGAGUAACACGUGGGUAAUCUGCCUUCGAGUGGGGGAUAACAUUUCGAAAGGAGUGCUAAUACCGCAUAAGACCACGGCUUCGAAAGAAGCAGCGGUCAAAGCUGGCCUCUAUACAUAAGCUAGCACUCGAGGAUGAGCCCGCGGCGCAUCAGCUAGUUGGUGAGGUAAUGGCUCACCAAGGCGAAGACGCGUAGCUGGUCUGAGAGGAUGAUCAGCCACACUGGAACUGAGACACGGUCCAGACCCCUACGGGAGGCAGCAGUGGGGAAUCUUGCGCAAUGGGCGAAAGCCUGACGCAGCGACGCCGCGUGAGUGAUGAAGGCCUUCGGGUUGUAAAGCUCUGUGGGGAGAGACGAAUAAGUGCAGGCUAAUACCCUGCAUGAUGACGGUAUCUCCUUAGCAAGCACCGGCUAACUCUGUGCCAGCCGCCGCUGUAAAAC